CUUUUUUUCUUCUUCUUUUUUUUUUUUCUCUCUUUUUUUCAACCGCGGGCGGUGAAGAGCUUGUUGACUUAAGCGCGUGGCAAAUUUCGUCCUUUCAAACGUUUUCCACCGCGAAUACGGCUCCUCUACCCCACGCUUCUUCGAGGAUUACGCCCACGAAAUGGUUCUAUGUACUCUGCAUCGCAUUGUUACAUCGAUCCUUUUUUGUGAACUCUUUUUCUUUUUCUUCUUUUCUUUAAUAUUGAUUGAAACUCUUUUAAAAUAACUACAGCGGCUACAAAAAAAAACUAUUUACACAUUGUUGCUUUCCUAGGAAUUGUAUUUUUAUCAAGUUCUAUAUCAAGCUUUACUUUCGUCAGUAUCAAAUUUUUGUUCAUUUAUAUGAAUUCGAACUUCCAUCGAAUGAUAUAAAAAUCUAUUAAUUAAUAUGUAUAAAAUACGAUAUAACUUAUGCAAUGCACAUUUUUUACAAUUGAUAUAACGAGAACGUGAUAAACACGUUUGAGCAAUAAUUAUUUGAUAAUUUAUUUUAUCAAAUAUCCUGAACUUUUUCCGGCCCAUUACGCGUUCGAGUUCGACGGCAGACUUUGAGCUAAAGAGACUGGUAAGUCGAACUUUCGUAAUUACAAUAAACAAGUCCCGGUUGCCGCGAUAAAACGCCCCGCCACCAAGCACAAACGCCUCACGGUAAUAGCAUGCAAAUUGUUGGCUUACCUAACGUCUGGACUCCUUGGGUUCUUUUGAAAUGUGAUUUCUUACUACUUUGAAUCCGAACAGGGUUUACCGCCCUUUGAAGCUUGAUAUUUUUGUAAGAGGGUUCGAGAGUGUUCCGCGCGAGCGGAAUAUCGAGCACGAUAUUAUCGCGGAUUUAUUUUCAUCACUGUGAAAAUUGUAUCUUCUUUUUCCUUUUUUUUUCCGAUUCUACGAUCCAUUAAAAAUCUCUUAAUAAGUUCACUCAGUCAAUAAAAUACCUCGUUUUAAUCCUUCCAUCGACUUGUUCACAAUCUAAUCCAAGAACCACGAUAAACCAGCAGAUCCAUAAACCGACCUAGGAAAAGCUGACAUCUAAAUAAAUACAAGAUACCGCUCGAAUCGUUCCACCCCCGAGGAAAUCGCUUGGAAUAAUAAUCCCCCUCUCCGUCCAAACCAUAAGUUUCUCGCCGCAUCCUCCGCGGCAACGGAACCGCGUUCCUAAAUUAGUGUUCAUCUUUGCCAGGCGAAACACGGAAAGACGUAUGCAUCCUAGGUAUACAGGUACUUAUGCGGCCAUUCUAAUAACAGUAUGCCAAGCCUCUCUCGUCCCACUAUGAGCGACGUUCUGUCCGUUCCCGUGGCCGAAUCGCCCGCAGCGUGGCGUGAUCCGGUAGCAUUUGAAAACGGCACACGUCCCGAUACGUCUCCCUGCCCACUCUGCUCCUCGCAUCGAAGGAAUAAGCCUCGCAAAUCGGCGCUCGUAUAUAUACGAUAUUUGCGCCAUUAUCCGGCCGAUUCUAAUAAGCGCGUGUCAAUUCCUCCCGUCGAUAAAGGAGAAAUCCCGGAGUACGGUAGGGAAGAAUGGUCUGUGGCCUGUGGCGUGGCGUGAUCGAAAGUGGCACUCGAAAGCGAGCCGGUCCCUGCAUCCGAAUUCCGGAACGCAUCGGAUAGUAGGCGAGCGCCAUGUUGAGCGCCUCUUAAUUCGUGAUAAAACAUUGGUUCGCCCUUUAUUGAGCAUUCGCCGUGUUCACCUACGGCGCGAACACGAUCCUCGGAUAUCCUCCUCCUUCGGGAUUCCUUACGGGGCGUUUACGUGCAUGCUAAAAGCUUGUUCCAAGGAAGCGGUGCGCUCAAAAAAGAGCGCGCAAGAAAAUACGAAAAUACGAGGCCAUCGGGAGUAGUUGGGCGCAAAUGGUUCCUAACACGUAUUAUAAGCAUGAUUAGCAUAAGUGUCUGUGUGAAAAGGAAACGAUUUUGUUAAUAUCCUUAUUCAUCGAUAACGUUCGAUCAUUUUUAUCUCUCCAUGUACAACCUGAUCGUGUAUAUCUAGAUACGUGCAGGCACGUGUGUAGAAGAGGUAGCCGAGGUGCUAGUGUUAGAUUGCUCGGAAAUGUUGAAGGAGGGGAGAAAAGUCGGCGGAAGAGCGGCGAGAAGAGAAAAGAUUCGGGGUCCUGGUACGGAGAACUCUGAAGAGACUUUAUCAUCGCGCUCGGUCGCUCGCCUCUCUCAUUAGUUGGCUGGCACGCCGCCCCCGGGGCCGGCCUGUGCGUGAGUUUAAUCUGUGCGCGAACCGUGGAGAGCGCGUGUAUGCGUGAACUCACCGCUCGUCCUCGCUUAACGCGCACCCGUCCCGUCCUGGACCCGCACACGUAGCCCUUCUCCUCCUCUUCCUCUUCUUCUUCUUCUUCUUCUUCUUCUUCCUCCUCUUCGUCUUCUUCUUCUUCUUCUUCGCCUUCGUCUUCGACUUCUUCGUGAUUUGCUCCGUGCGCGUUACGAGCAUCGCAGUACGCGGGACGCAUGAUCCGCUCGGCGUGUGCGUGCGAGACAAGAGAUGCAGCGUGGGCGGCGCGCACGCUACGGCAUUCCGGAGCUGGCCCGGCAGCAGCGGCACGAAACCGCGUAAUAUGGGAAUGCGUGGAGGCUUGAUUUUAAGUGGAGAGAACAAAUAUCCCUCCCGAUGCGCGUCGGGACCUAGACCUCAAUUAUCAUGGAAUCCCGACGGGAUAAAUUCGAGGUUAGAAACCUCGGGGACCUGGAAGAAAUUCAAAGAUCGAGGAAGGGAUCCUUGGUUGGAUGGAGAUACGGGAGGAGAGUCGCGUGAGACUUUUCAGUUGAAUGGAAAGCCAUCGAUCGCUUUUAAAAGAAAACUUUUAUAGAUGAGGCUCAAACGAGAUAAACUUAUCAUCUCUCCUCCCUCCUUCUUUUUUUCGAAAUCUUCUUUUUACCAAUAGACAUUAAACUUACGUUCGUUAUUUCCUUUUACAAUAAUUCCUUUCGCACAUCUCGUGUAUCCUCUUCCCAAAAUCCGUUCCGGAAAAUCUUCUCCUUCCUCGAUUCGAAAUCUUAAGAAAGGAAAUGGUCCCCCGGCUCGUCGUUCACGAUUCAGCUCGAUUCGAUGGAUAUCCCCUCCGGACGGGGCAAGGGAAGGACAGAAAGGAGGAGGAGAAGAAUGCACUCGUCAUUACGCGGCUACGUGACGAUCAAAAGGAGGCCUGCCGGUAUUUACAGCCGUGCCGGGGCACGGAUCGCGCGGCUACCCGAUCGAUCGUUCAAGCUCCUGUCGCGCGGAACCCCAACCGAGCGUCGAGCAAUUCUCGUUCUUCAAACAACGCCAAUAUGUUGGUUCGUGGGUCACUGCUUUGGCACGAAACUCGUACACACAUGGUCGGCGGCGGUGAGGGAAGAAACGGAGGGAUCGCGGGGUGGGGCGGGGACGGCGUCGUCUGCCGGCGGUAUAGGGUGAAAUUUAGUGCGGAAUAUAAGGGACCCUCCCGAGCUUGGCCUAAGGCGGGGUUUACAGCCCUCCUUGUGAAUCUGGCCGUGUGCGCAUACAUUUUCAAAACUCACUUCGAUCCACCAGGUUGGAAGGGAUCGCAUUGUCGGAGACAAUUCUCUAUCUUUUCUCCCUCCGCCCCAUCUCUCCCCCUCUGCCCGCGUUACCUUCCCUUCCCCCGCUGCUUCCUUCCUCUUCCUUUUCACGCGGCGGGGCCAGAGCCACGCGUCCGACGGAUACGAUGUUGUUGGACGUUGGAGAAUUUCUCGAGAGAACUUGCCCUCCCUCCCUUCCCCUUCGAAGAAAGGGAUGCCAGCUCCUCCCCAGGUUUUCCGCCCUUCGCGCCACUUGGCGACGACGCGUCCGACGCGGCCCAAUUAAACUUUUAGUGCCCGGUUAAACGCGCGCGCGUCGCCCGCUCUUUCUCCAACCUCGCCGGCACCGGUGUUAACCGAUGAAAGGGAAAAUUCAAGGGACAAUUUUCUGGACACGAUAAUCGAACUUGUGUUGUAUGGAUGGAUUGUAAGGCCUAAUGCCAAUGUGAUGAACCGUAGCCGAUUCUAAUUAAAUAGAACAAGCUCGAAAAAUAGCAGAACGAAAAGGUUUCAGAGCCAUGAUCGUCUAAAUCCGCGAGGAGGCUUUGGGCGAAGCGAUUCGACGAAAUUCUAGCCUCGAACCCGGCCCGGCAUAGAUCCACCCUCGCUUCUAACCACACAUAAACGGGUAGCCACGGGGCCUCAGGCCUUACGGAUGACUUAUGCUCGCUCAAGUUAUUUGAACUCGUCGGUGCAUCGAGUGGUGGCACAGUGAAUCGUCCCCGACGUCUUUGUCGAUGCUCUGUGCAAAUGUUAGCACACAAGACGUACGCCGAAUCUCUGUGUCUGUUGUCUGCUGAUGGAUCAGAGAGAGGUAGUAUCUUGUCUUGGUUGAAAUUGAAUUGUACCUCCUUUCGUAAUUUCCACGUGAAUGGCAUGUAUAGUAUGAUACUUAUUUCAACUUAUUAGCAGCUAAGUAUUAUCGAUCUAUGGAGAAAUAAUGAAAUUUGAAU